rnacentral:lncRNA from 1 species
AAAAGAUGUUACCCUCUAAGAAAGUCAGAGGUUGGUCUCCUGCAGGCAAGUGAAGGUAUCAAAGUCAGAGUAUUUGAGGUGAGGCAUCUUGACAGUGUGGUCAGGAAACUGGAAGCCAGGAUCCAGGACACAGUGAAGAAAGGAACCAGAGAAGAGAUAUCACCAUAGUCAGAGCUAAGAUUCAGCAGCUAAAACAGGAACUGCUGGAUGGGCAUCCGCAGUGCUUUGAGGCGAAGCAGCCCAAGAACUUGCCAGUCAAGAUGAAAAACUUCAUCUAAUGGAAUCCAGCUUGAAAGCAACUCAAGAGCAGCUAACUGAGCAAAGAGCAGAAAUAGUUCGUCAAGAACAGAACAGUACAAAAUCACAGGCAGAGCUGAAGACAGUGAGAGAACGUAUUAUUGCUUCUGAAGAAGAAUUUAAUGAUUUCAAUGGCUUGAACUUUGAGGGCCUGCCCCUCAUUUGAAGAGUGAUGCUGCAGCAAGGUAAGAUCCUCAAAGUUGUCCAAAAAGUAUUGUCAAGCAGUGUCUUUUUAAUUUUUAAGAUAAAGAUAAUUAUUUUUUAAAAAAUGCAAGAGGUAUUUUUUUGAGAA